rnacentral:tRNA from 1 species
AGAUUUGUGGCGCAGUGGUAGCGCGUUCGCCUAACACGCGAAAGGUCCACGGUUCGAAACCGUGCAGAUCUA